GAUCAUGGCUCAGGAUGAACGCUAGCGGCAGGCUUAACACAUGCAAGUCGAGGGGCAGCGCGGGAUAGCAAUAUCCUGGCGGCGACCGGCGGAAGGGUGCGUAACGCGUGAGCGACAUGCCCGUUGCCCGGGGACAACCGGUGGAAACGCCGACUAAUCCCCGAUGGGAUAUUGUGCCGCAUGGCACGAUAUUGAAAGUUACGGCGGCGAUGGAUUGGCUCGCGUCCGAUUAGCUUGG
rnacentral:rRNA from 1 species